rnacentral:tRNA from 1 species
GGCCGGUUAGCUCAAUUGCUUGGGCGUGGUGCUGAUAACACCAAGGUCGUGGGUUCAAUCCCCGUUUGGUCCC